CAUACAUUUAAUAGAAAUGUUCACUACCGACUGUGUGGUGGGGAGGCCAGCCUUGGAGAACUGAGUGUGUG